rnacentral:rRNA from 1 species
GACGGGACCGCACAAGCGGUGGAUGAUGUGGUUAAUUCGAUGCAACGCGAAAACCUUACCACCUUUGACAUGGCAGGAAUCCUAAAGAGAUUUGGGAGUGCUCGAAAGAGAACCUGCACACAGGUGCUGCAUGGCUGUCGUCAGCUCGUGUCGUGAGAUGUUGGGUUAAGUCCCGCAACGAGCGCAACCCUUGUCACUAGUUGCCAUCAUUUGGUUGGGCACUCUAGUGAGACUGCCGGUGACAAACCGGAGGAAGGUGGGGAUGACGUCAAGUCCUCAUGGCCCUUAUAGGUGGGGCUACACACGUCAUACAAUGGCCGGUACAGAGGGUAGCCAACCCGCGAGGGGGAGCCAAUCCCACAAAGCCGGCCGUAGUCCGGAUCGCAGUCUGCAACUCGACUGCGUGAAGUCGGAAUCGCUAGUAAUCGCGGAUCAGCAUGUCGCGGUGAAUACGUUCCCGGGUCUU